UCAAAAACAGCUAAGUACUUAUAUAUAAAGAACAUAAGUAAUAAUUAAAUCAAACAAAAAAAUAUAUGUACCAGUACAAAACAUUGGACAAUAUGCUGCGUGUCAAAAAGGCACAUCCACUCAGCUAUUGCUGCGCCUUAGAGGAACUCGAAGGACACAGCACUGGUGUUUCAGUGGAUGCCCAGCGUGACGCACGAAAGAAAUACUAAUAAUAUUGACAAAAAAAACAGUUAUUGCGCGAGCGACGCCGCAGCGUGAUCACGUGUACUCCUGAAAACGGGAUUUCGCACCGCCAGCGCCAGGGCAGAGAGGCCCGCCCAGCUGCGCUCGUCGCACGCGCACAGGUGCCAAAUAGAUAUAACAAAAUAGAAACAGAAUAAUUAAAAAAAACAAAUCAAGACUUGACAAUAACCUGUGAUGCAUUAUUAAUGGUGAGUGUGUGACAGAUAAUAUCUUAUAGGACUAAACCACUUUGCUAUAUACCUACCUACUUAGUUUAAACAAAUACAUACAUAUUGUGUACCUAGUGUGAAAUUAAAAUGUGAGUUAGUGAGUAUAGUAUAGUAUGCCUAUGUGUGAGUGUAAUAUGCUAGAAAGUGUGUGUGUGUGUACCUAAGAAUGAAAUAACAUAUAAAUAUAUUUUUAAUUUACAGACUACCUAUGGAGACAGUAUUUAUUAUACAAAUACAUAAAUAAAACCAAUAGUUUGUAUAUAUUAUUGCACAUGCCAUCGCCGUGUUCAAGCAGAUCCAGGAACAAAGGAAAUCCUACCUUACGCACUGAGGAUAAGGUCGUGACCUCGGAUAGGCGGUGGGAGAUUGUUGUAUAUGUCGCUCGAGAGAUAUUUAAAACUAUGGCGAAACAUGGCAGAUUUAUGUUUGGGAGUCAGCAUGAGAUAAGUUGCAGCUCUGGUAUUAAUAGUGUGGUGAUUACGGGCCCAGGCCAGCUUAUCAUACAGAUAAUCUGGCGACUGGUGCUUCACCACACCGAAGAGGAGAGUGGCCAGAUGCAGUUUCCACCUCGCAGCAAUCUUCAACAGGUUUGAACGGUUAAGGAACGGUGUAACAUGAGCGCGCGGAGGUAUAUUAAAGCAGAACCUCGCGCAGGCGUUCUGUACUCUUUGUAACAAUCUUUCCGUUUUGCGUAAUAAACAAGGGCCGUAUACGGUGUCAGCAUAAUUUAGUUUGGAAAGUACAAGCGAUUCGCACAAUUGGAUACGGAGGUCAACAUUUAAGUAAGGUCGCAUUUUGUACAAGAUUUUUAGUCUAUAAAAACAGUUUCUGAUCAUUUCCAUGACAUGUUUUUCAAAACGCAGACUGCUAUCAAAAAUAAGACCGAGGUUGCGCGCCUCCGUAACUCGUUCUAUAACCGCUCCAUCUAAUAUUAUAUUCGGAUUAUGUACAAUAGUGUC